rnacentral:rRNA from 1 species
CCCCGUGGGGGGUGCUAUACAUGCAAGUAGAACGCUGAAGAGAGGAGCUUGCUCUUCUUGGAUGAGUUGCGAACGGGUGAGUAACGCGUAGGUAACCUGCCUUGUAGCGGGGGAUAACUAUUGGAAACGAUAGCUAAUACCGCAUAACAAUGGAUGACACAUGUCAUUUAUUUGAAAGGGGCAAUUGCUCCACUACAAGAUGGACCUGCGUUGUAUUAGCUAGUAGGUGAGGUAACGGCUCACCUAGGCGACGAUACAUAGCCGACCUGAGAGGGUGAUCGGCCACACUGGGACUGAGACACGGCCCAGACUCCUACGGGAGGCAGCAGUAGGGAAUCUUCGGCAAUGGGGGCAACCCUGACCGAGCAACGCCGCGUGAGUGAAGAAGGUUUUCGGAUCGUAAAGCUCUGUUGUAAGUCAAGAACGAGUGUGAGAGUGGAAAGUUCACACUGUGACGGUAGCUUACCAGAAAGGGACGGCUAACUACGUGCCAGCAGCCGCGGUAAUACGUAGGUCCCGAGCGUUGUCCGGAUUUAUUGGGCGUAAAGCGAGCGCAGGCGGUUUGAUAAGUCUGAAGUUAAAGGCUGUGGCUCAACCAUAGUUCGCUUUGGAAACUGUCAAACUUGAGUGCAGAAGGGGAGAGUGGAAUUCCAUGUGUAGCGGUGAAAUGCGUAGAUAUAUGGAGGAACACCGGUGGCGAAAGCGGCUCUCUGGUCUGUAACUGACGCUGAGGCUCGAAAGCGUGGGGAGCGAACAGGAUUAGAUACCCUGGUAGUCCACGCCGUAAACGAUGAGUGCUAGGUGUUGGAUCCUUUCCGGGAUUCAGUGCCGCAGCUAACGCAUUAAGCACUCCGCCUGGGGAGUACGACCGCAAGGUUGAAACUCAAAGGAAUUGACGGGGGCCCGCACAAGCGGUGGAGCAUGUGGUUUAAUUCGAAGCAACGCGAAGAACCUUACCAGGUCUUGACAUCCCGAUGCUAUUUCUAGAGAUAGAAAGUUACUUCGGUACAUCGGUGACAGGUGGUGCAUGGUUGUCGUCAGCUCGUGUCGUGAGAUGUUGGGUUAAGUCCCGCAACGAGCGCAACCCCUAUUGUUAGUUGCCAUCAUUCAGUUGGGCACUCUAGCGAGACUGCCGGUAAUAAACCGGAGGAAGGUGGGGAUGACGUCAAAUCAUCAUGCCCCUUAUGACCUGGGCUACACACGUGCUACAAUGGUUGGUACAACGAGUUGCGAGUCGGUGACGGCAAGCUAAUCUCUUAAAGCCAAUCUCAGUUCGGAUUGUAGGCUGCAACUCGCCUACAUGAAGUCGGAAUCGCUAGUAAUCGCGGAUCAGCACGCCGCGGUGAAUACGUUCCCGGGCCUUGUACACACCGCCCGUCACACCACGAGAGUUUGUAACACCCGAAGUCGGUGAGGUAACCUUUGGAGCCAGCCGCUAAGGGGUGGAAUUGAAGG